AGUUACUCCAAAUAAUUUCCUAUGGCAAAUUAUUAAGUUGGCAUUCUGGUUCAUCUAUCCGCCUUUGUAAGUUGGUUCACGUGGGACUCUAUCUGGAAAUGGCUUCCUCUCCAUGUGCUGACGAAAUGGAGUUUUUUUUUAUAGUGUCAGGCUGAGAGCUGGGCCCCGUCUGUAAUCAAUGUAUCAACAUAAUGAGUGACACCUCUUGGGGGAUUGUCUCAUCGGCCUUUCUGCUGGAGGCGGCCCCGUCGUGCUGCCCAAUUUUAUAGGCUAUGCUGCCAACCUGAAUAGCUUCUUGAACAACCUGCUCAACACUGCAGAAGAAGAAAGACAUCUGCUGGUUUUGCCGGUCAGGAUACAUCGACUCUUACUCUGGUAACAACACUCAGCUCCGGCCGAUCACAGAAGAAAGGAGGACGAAGUGACAAGGGCAAGAUGGAACAGUCUCAGUUGGCCAAAAAAGACCAAAUCCCUCAAUGAGCUCAAGUGAAAAGGAGGUGGGACAGCCCAUUCCUUAAUCUACUUAAAGGACCGCCAUGUUGAUGGGGAGUUGACUUGUUCUUUGUGAUCCCAGAAGAAAUUGCCGGGGCCACUAGAGGUAAGUUUUGCUUUGCUCUAAGGCAAGAAUUCCUUGCAAACACCUACCUCGGUCCAAGCCACCAACUUCUCU
rnacentral:lncRNA from 1 species